rnacentral:rRNA from 1 species
UACGUAGGGUGCAAGCGUUGUCCGGAAUUAUUGGGCGUAAAGAGCGUGUAGGCGGCUUGAUAAGUCUGCUGUGAAAGUCUAGGGCUCAACCCUGGAAAGCCGGUGGAUACUGUCGAGCUAGAGUCCGGAAGGGGCGAGUGGAAUUCCUGGUGUAGCGGUGAAAUGCGCAGAUAUCAGGAGGAACACCAAUGGCGAAGGCAGCUCGCUGGGACGGUACUGACGCUGAGACGCGAAAGCGUGGGUAGCAAACAGG